rnacentral:rRNA from 1 species
GAUGAACGCUAGCGGCAGGCCUAAUACAUGCAAGUCGAACGAUAUUAUCCAGCUUGCUGGAUAUGAAAGUGGCGCACGGGUGCGUAACGCGUAUGCAACCUACCUUAUUCAGGGGGAUAGCCCGAAGACAUUCGGAUUAACACCGCAUAAAAUCACAGUUCAGCAUUGGACAAUGAUCAAAUAUUUAUAGGAAUAAGAUGGGCAUGCGUGUCAUUAGCUAGUUGGCGGGGUAACGGCCCACCAAGGCGACGAUGACUAGGGGAUCUGAGAGGAUGGCCCCCCACACUGGUACUGAGACACGGACCAGACUCCUACGGGAGGCAGCAGUAAGGAAUAUUGGUCAAUGGAGGCAACUCUGAACCAGCCAUGCCGCGUGCAGGAAGACGGCCCUCUGGGUUGUAAACUGCUUUUAUUCGGGAAUAAACCUUUCUACGCGUAGGGAGCUGAAUGUACCGAAGGAAUAAGGAUCGGCUAACUCCGUGCCAGCCGCCGCGGUAA